rnacentral:lncRNA from 1 species
GCGCGCGGGUGCUCCAAGGAGUCGGAGGAACGCGGCCGCGCGACGGGCCCCGGACGCCGAGGGUGGUGCUUCCUCCGAGCCUCCGGUGGUGAGGCCGCUCUCAGAAGGUCAUGGAAGCGCAGGGGAGAGCGAGGCGGCCGAGCCCAGGCAAAUCCUCGAGAAAGGCCGAGUGCGCGACGGCUCUGCGGGGAGGACCGCGCCUCCCCGAAUGCGGCCGCUGCUGCCGCUGCAAACAGUGCCUUGAGGAGAGGAAAGCGGGGAACCGUGUUUUCGCCGCCUCUGUAACCACUGCACACAAGAAAACCAGCUUCUGGGAGAGGGGGAUGAUUGUUGGGACUUUGCGAAUUACCUAAACAGCCCAGGGCCGAGGCGCCGCCGCUCGCGUCCUGGUCCUCCUGCCGGGUGUGGGGCUCCCCUGCCCGAGAUGGCCAGCGGGCGCGCCGAGAGUAUCCUGGAGCCAUCUAGUCUUGCCUCGGAGGCGGGGUGGGCUUAUUUGUGCGGAGAAGAAACGGAUCUCUUAAUGGGGUGAGAUUUUUCCUCCGUACAUUGUUCCCAUUUCCGCAGUUUCACUUGGCCUCGGUUUUCUAGCAGAGUAAUCACCAAAUGAAAUUAGCUGGAGAGCGUUUGAUGGCGCAGAAUCACGGUCUGAAGAUGUUUACGCUGUAUGCCGGACGCGUUUGAUGGUGUUCUCUUCGGCACAAUUAAUUUUGCAAAGUUCAGAAAUGUGCCAGACAGAGCCCCUGGCACGCAGUCAGGACUCUACAGACACACCUUGAGUAGGAAACAGGCUUGUUUGUUUCAUCUGUGAUUUAUGUGAUGCACCAGCACCAAGGCCAACGUGUUUUUUAAAGACCUUUCGAUGAAACUCCAAAGCAAUUUAUAAAUUGGCAAAAUGAAGCUUGUUUUGUAAAAUAACUCUUCCUUGUUGAUCAUGUAAUUAAAUGGGCAACAAAACACCUGAAAGGACAUUUACUGAAAAGUAGACUCCCAAAACAAAAAUAUGUAUUUCACAGCUAGAUACGGUCGCUAUUAGCGUCCUAAUGGCCAACUCCAUCCAUGUGCGUAUUUUGAACACUAAAAACGCCUCCUGUUACCCCUAAGACCUUGUUUGGAUAACAUUUUUCUAUUAUAAGUACUCGAAACCAACCCCAUUUAAGAUGUUUACCCUUAUUCUUGAGUCCUUGAUGGUUUGGGAAAUUUAUCAUUAUUCAUAUUGCACAAUCCUGUCACUGUCUUUUCCAUUAGGCACAGUGCCUAAGGUCCACAAUAUUUUUAGAGGCCCACAAAAAAUAUUUUAAUUUCUUUUCAAAUCAGAAGGAAAAAAAAUUUAGGUUUAAGAAAGUAUUUUAAUAUAUAUUAAUAUAUUUGUUUUUGUGCUAAUACAAUCUUAAAAUGUAUGUAUAUAUGUGUGUGUGUAUAUGUAUAUAUAUUUUAAUGGAGUAAGGGGCUCAACGAAGGCAAAAAGGCCUAGAGCCCAAGAAAAACAUGAUGUGGCCCUGUUGCCUGGGGUUGAAAAAUCCCAUUCCAUGAGAAGAAUUUAGUUUUAAGAAUAUUACAUAAAAUGCUCAUUUCUGUGGCCUUGCUAUAAUAGAAAGAUGGAGAUUCAGAGUAGUGAUAAUGGCUAACAUCCACCUGAUACACACCAUGUGUCCAUUACCUCUUAAUCCUCACAGCACACCUGUGAAAUAGGUACUAUUCUCACACUUAGGGGGUAAUGCAGGUUUUGUGGGGCCUGCAAUUUAUGCAAUUUGGGUGGUCCUCUUAAAGAAAAAGCAAAUACUGUGUAUUAGUCCGUUCUCACACUGCUAUAAAGAACUGCGCGAGACUGGGUAAUUUAUAAAGGAAAGAGGUUUAAUUGACUCACAGUUCCACAUGGCUGGGGAGACCUCAGGAAACUUAACAAUCGUGGUGGAAGGAGAAGCAAGUACCUUCUUCACAAGGAAGCGGAAAGAAUUGUGAGCGGAGGAACUUGCCAAACACAAAACCGUCAGAUCGCGUGAGAAUUCAGUUACUAUCACGAGAACAACACGGGAAAACUGUCCCCAUAAUCAAGUCAUUUCUCUCCCUAACAAGUGAGGAUUACAAUUCAAGAUGAGGUUUGGGUAGGAACACAAAGCCUGACCCUAUCCCACAGCAUGUCCAGGCUGCCCUAGCACCACCCAAUAGAAGGGAAAAUGGCAGAGGGAAAGUCCUAGUGGAAAGAGACCUCAGUCUCAGCUAAUUGUGGUGACAAUAUAUUGCUUUUGCAAAUUGUACAUAAACAUAUGACCAGGUGAAUGUAUCGCCAAGGCUCCUGCCAAGGCCUGGGAUGGAGGCCUAGAGAAGAUGCCCGAAAGUUUAUGCUGUGUGAGCUUCACAGAAGACCUGCCUUCCAUGUAUACCCAUUUUACAGGUGUCUGUGCGGUGCAGAAACUGUACAACUGUAUACAGUGACCAUUUCUACUCUGGGUCUCUAAACAAGGGCUGGUAUCGUUACAGAGACUGAAGACUGAGGAAGACCAUCUCUGUAGGAUGCCAAGGAUUGACUGGAGAAAGUCUGGGUAAGUACAGGUCACAGGAAACCACACAAGAAAUACACUUUUGUAGGACAAAGAGGUAAGGUCAGAGCCCUGAGAGACCCUCACAACUGGUAUUAAAGCAGAGUGAAAAGAAAUCUAAAGGGGGGACAGGUCUAAGGGGACAUGGGACACAAAGCCAGGAAGGAAGGAAGCAAACCCCAGCAGUGCUGUACCUGGAGGGCGAUGAAUGAGUCGCAGAGGCUCCCUUUCUGAGCUGGGAUUAGGAGUUGAUAAUGGUCUUGCAAGUGCAGUUCUGCAGAGCGAAAGGGCCCGGUGCCUUGCAGCAGAGACACGUUCUGGGAGAGAG